AGCCAUAAAAAAGAAUGAAAUAAUGCCAUUUGCAGCAACAUGGAGGGACCUAGAGAUGAUCAUACUAAGCGAACAGAUACAGCAAGGAGAAAGAUACGCACAAACCAAGAAGAGCGCUCUCACCAGACACGGAAUCUGCUACCACCUUGAUCUCAGAUUUCCCAGCCUCCAGAAUGGAACUUGGGGAAGUUUAGUAAAUCCCCCAACAUCCCCACACUGAGGAAUACCUGGCUGAAACGCUAAUCCAGUCUGUCUGGCCUGAAGCCCACAUGUUGUCUAUGGUGCUGUUUAGAGAGAAGAGCAAGACAGGAUGUUGCCAAGAUGCUUCUCCAGUAUCAACAGCUAGCAAGGAGGGAGCAGGGGCAGGUUCUGACCCCAUGUCCAGUGUUAUUUUCUGCUAUAUUACCCUGCCCAGGAGGAGACUGCUAAGGGGAAAGGGGAAGCCUGGAACUUUCCCCACAGGUAUAAUUUGUCCAUUAGACAACAGAAGAAAACAGUUGUUAAGUUGAUUUCAUCUUCAAAAUGAUCCCUGUGUCCCACAGUUCCUGCAGAUGUGACUA
ensembl:lncRNA